ACGGCUCAGUAACACGUUGAUAAUUUGCCCUUAGGUCCAGGAUACCGUUGCGAAAGUGACGUUAAACCUGGAUAGAAGAUUNCUACUGGAAUGUGUUUUCUUCAAAACGCAAGGCCUAAGGAUAAGUCAGCGGCUGAUUAGGUUGUUGGUGAGGUAAUGGCUCACCAAGCCUAUGAUCAGUAGGGGGGAUGAAAGUCCUAGCCCCGAGAAGGGCACUGAGAUACUGGCCCUAGCCCUAAGGGGCGCAGCAGGCGAGAAAACUUUACAAUGCACGAAAGUGUGAUAAGGGGAUCUUGAGUGCUUUACUUCGGUAAAGCUUUUGCCGAGUACAAAAAGCUCGGCGAAUAAGGGAUGGGCAAGACCGGUGCCAGCCGCCGCGGUAACCCCGGCGUCCCGAGUGGGGGCCACGUUUAUUGGGUCUAAAGGGUCCGUAGCCUGUUUUGUAAAUCUCUUGUGAAAUUGUUAGGCUCAACCUAACAGCGAGCAAGAGAAACUGCAGAACUUGGAACCGGGAGGAGGCAGAGGUAUUCCAGGGGGAGCGGUAAAAUGUUAUAAUCCUUGGAGGACCACCCGUGGCGAAGGCGUCUGCCUAGAACGGAUUCGACGGUGAUGGACGAAGGCUAGGGGAGCAAAAAGGAUUAGAUACCCUAGUAGUCCUAGCUGUAAACGCUGCGAGCUAUGUGUUGCAUGUUCCUGCGGGGACAUGC
rnacentral:rRNA from 1 species